ACAGCAGUAGCCGCGGGAAUACGUAGGUGGCAAGCGUUGUCCGGAAUUAUUGGGCGUAAAGGGCUCGCAGGCGGUUUCUUAAGUCUGAUGUGAAAGCCCCCGGCUCAACCGGGGAGGGUCAUUGGAAACUGGGAAACUUGAGUGCAGAAGAGGAGAGUGGAAUUCCACGUGUAGCGGUGAAAUGUGUAGAGAUGUGGAGGAACACCAGUGGCGAAGGCGACUCUCUGGUCUGUAACUGACGCUGAGGAGCGAAAGCGUGGGGAGCGAACAAGAUUAGAUACCCCGGUAGUCCCUGUCUCUUAUAA
rnacentral:rRNA from 1 species